UUGGAGUAGUGACGCGUUCACUUCCAUUCCUGAGAGCCCUUGAUGUGAUGGCGACGGCAUUCCGCCGGAGACCUCUUUCUACCGCCGAUCUCUCCUGGAUGGCACGUCGCCGCGUUUCCGUCCGACCGGACAUGCCCCUCUGGGGGCCCUCGGGCCUCGACGCCCUUCUACGCCCGACGAACCUCAUUGUGUCGCCGAUUCCAGAUGCAGCGUCGGCGGAGGCGACGCCGAAUCUCAACGGACUGGGGAGACGUCUUUCGCCGGAUCAUCCGUGGCGAAUCCCUCCGCAUUCGAGCUAUAACUUUGCCUUCUCAUCCUUUGAUUCAUUCAAUUUGCUUGUCAACGAUGGAUUAGAGCAGGUCAAGUAAUAUUUCAUGUUAGUAGUGAAUUUAAGUUCAGGAGAUGGUUUCAAAUACCAGUGGCUGUAUGCUACCUUCUUUAAUCUAUGCCUGCUGCAGACUCAUCUUCACAUAAUUCCUUGGAAGCCUGGGGACCAGCUAUGGCCUUUUGAGCGAGUGCAGGUAGUUGCAAUUUGGACAGUGUGGUGAAGAUUUGAACAUCAUGACGAGAAGAUGGCAAUGAACACAGACUAAUGCCACCAUGUUGCUACUUGAACUGCAUUGCUUCUUCAUUUCCUGAGCUGUGUAUGUUGUCUUUCCUUCUGAGAAUGGAAACACUGAGAUGUUAAGAUCCAAGUCCAUGCUUCGCUCUUUUGGCCUCAUCCAUCUUUUUUUCAUGGUCCUCCUGUUCAGUGGCAGGGGAUCAUCGAGCUGGAGGUCAAUGUUACCACUCUGGUUCACUGGAUUACUCCAUAUAGAUUGUUGCUUCCUCUUCGUCGUGGAAAUUGGAUCUGUUUCCUCAGUCGAGAUUGACUGAGGCUGGCCAAGAGAAAGCUCCGUGUGUUCCAUAGCCGCCUGUUUGAUACUGGUGGAGAAAAGCUAAAGAGUUUAUUGUCAAAGAGAAGCUGAUGAAAAAGCCAUGAGUUUAUGGCAGAGUGAAGGUCUUCAUCUAAGAAGUGACAAAGCGAUCAAAGGUAGAUCUAAUCUGUCCACAAUGAUCAUCACGUCGAGUUCUCUCGAGGCAUGACUAGGAGACUAGAGAUUAAAAAAGAAAAGAAAAAAAAAAAAGAAACCACCACCCAAUUCGACAAGGAGACUUGUCGAGUGUGAUUGGGUCAUUAAAUGCCCAAAAAAUAAAAAGGUUCUUCAAAUGGAAAAUAAGUGAAAAUGUGAUUGCAACUUGUGUCGACAUAUGAGGGCGGUCAAUUAGCAUAUUCUGGAUUAUUGUGCCAUUCUUUGAUUUCCCUUAUAUUCUGUCACAUUUGAGUUUAUCUGAGAAGAGAGACAUCAAUCAAUUCCAGCACAUGAAAACAGUGAGAGAGAUUGGAUAAAUGCAUGUAAGAUUUGUUCAUUCUACAUGAGCAGAACCUGCGGAUACGAUGCUGAUAGAAGUUUGUUUAUCUGACAAAGUUGAUGAAAGAGUAUUUCAAAGAUUCUUGUGAGGUGAAGGAUCACAUCGUGGAGCUUGCAACGUAGGCAAUUCUACAACCAUCAAAUAUAUUCCCCAAUUAUUCAUCUCUAUCUCUCCCAUGGCUGCCAAACUCAAGCUGAAUUUUUCUUUUCUUCUGGGACAAUGACAAGAUCAGUGCUGCAGUAAAUGAGGUUUUGCACAUGGCGUGGGAGUCAGUUCCGAGGAAGGAAGAACAGCAUCUCCUCGCUCAUACGUCAACAGGUGAGGAAAAGGUUGGGGACAAUUGUUUAUGGCAGUGGAAUUCACCAAACAACUGGUGGCCAAAUGAUGCACAAAUAAUUGAAUGAGAGAUGUCAGAUGGAAGGAAGGACGCACGCCGUGCAAGGGAGAAUCCCACCACCCGGCUCCUUUUUUCUUCUGCGGAUUCAUAAACAAAUGUAGUGAUGAAGAAUAAAGGAGAUGAUUGCAUGGGGAUGUGUCAUUGGGCACUGCCAGGAUAACAAUAGUCAAAAAGGUGGCAAAAAAGCCUUAUGUCGCUGGUUUGGAUGAGAGAUUUGGAUCUGAUACAACUAAUCGAGUGCUGAUGGUGCAAAUCCUAUCUAUGAUAUGCUUGGAAUAUACGGCGUGCGAGAAAGAAAAGAGGAUUCAUAUGAUGGAGCAGGGGGAUCGUAUUCCUUAGGAUUUUAUGCAUGACUUGCACUGUAGUGUGGAGGACAAGGUUCUUCCAUGCUUUCUCCCAUUGUUAAUGGGAAAUACAUGGGUGCUUGGAGGACUAAUGAUAGAAAAAGUGGCAAUAUAUUCUCCAAUAACGUUUCAUUUUGACUCAGAUUGUGAUUCUCCAAAUAAUGCUCGUUAAAGUGAUGCAAUGUGCAAUGGGCUUGCGGAUA